rnacentral:rRNA from 1 species
CCUACGGGAGGCAGCAGUGAGGAAUAUUGGUCAAUGGACGAGAGUCUGAACCAGCCAAGUAGCGUGAAGGAUGACUGCCCUAUGGGUUGUAAACUUCUUUUAUAUGGGAAUAAAAUGUUCCACGUGUGGGAUUUUGUAUGUACCAUAUGAAUAAGGAUCGGCUAACUCCGUGCCAGCAGCCGCGGUAAUACGGAGGAUCCGAGCGUUAUCCGGAUUGAUUGGGUUUAAAGGGAGCGUAGGUGGAUUGUUAAGUCAGUUGUGAAAGUUUGCGGCUCAACCGUAAAAUUGCAGUUGAAACUGGCAGUCUUGAGUACAGUAGAGGUGGGCGGAAUUCGUGGUGUAGCGGUGAAAUGCUUAGAUAUCACGAAGAACUACGAUUGCGAAGGCAGCUCACUGGACUGCAACUGACACUGAGGCUCGAAAGUGUGGGUAUCAAACAGGAUUAGAUACCCCGGUAGUC